rnacentral:rRNA from 1 species
UACGGAGGGUGCAAACGUUGCUCGGAAUUACUGGGCGUAAAGCGCGUGUAGGCGGUUGUCCAAGUUGGAUGUGAAAGCCUUGAGCUUAACUCAAGAAAUGCAUUCAGGACUGGAUGACUAGAGGACCGGAGAGGAUAGUGGAAUUCCCAGUGUAGUGGUGAAAUACGUAGAGAUUGGGAAGAACACCAGUGGCGAAGGCGGCUAUCUGGACGGUUUCUGACGCUAAGACGCGAAAGCGUGGGGAGCAAACAGGG